AAAAAAUUUAAUUUUUAUUUAAAAAUUUAUUUUAUGAUUAGUAAUAUAAAUAAAAUUUAUUAAUAAAAUGUUAUUAAUUUAAAUAAUUAAAAAUAUAAAAAUAAUUAAUAUUUAUAAUAAUUGAAAUUAUUUAAGUAAUUAUAGUAAUUUAUAAAAAUAAUAAUAUAAUUAGUGCCAGCAAUUGCGGUUAAACUAGGAUUAUGAGUAAAUUUAUUUUAAUUAUGAUUUAAAUGAAAGAGAAAAUUUAAUUUAAAAUAUAUUUUAUAUGGUGAAAUAUUUAAAAUAUUAAUUAAAUUAUGUAAUUAGUAGAAUUAAAAAAUUAUGUGGUAAACUAGGAUUAGAUACCCUAUUAUAGUAAAAAAGGUUAAAUUAUUAAAAGAUUAAAUGUAAAUCAUUAAAUUUAGAUAAUUUGGCGGUAUUUUAAAUAGUUAGAGGAAUUUGUUAAUUAAAUGAUACCCCACGAGUGGAAUGUCCUAGCAUGAUUUUUAUGUAUUGUUGUAUAAAAAUUAUUUUAUAAGAAUGUAUAGUUAAGAUAUUAUAUAUAAUAUGAAUUCAAAUCAAAAUGUAGAAUUGUUAGGGUUAAAUGAAUUACAGUUUAAUGAUAAUAGGAAAAUUAUUAUUUUGAAUGAUAUAAUUAUGAAGGAUUUAAAAGUAAAUUUAAAAACAUAUUUAAGUUGAAAUAUAAAUUAAGAUAUGUA
rnacentral:rRNA from 1 species